UGUACUUCAGUAAGCCGAGGAUGCAGGCGCGGAGCGCGCGGUUCGCCGUUUCUGCCCUCCCGCGCGCCUCCCAGGGCUUCCUGCCUUAGCGGCCGGGCAGCAGCCUUGGCGAAAGCAGCACGGACCUUUCCAGUUUUCCCAAGCGCGAGGCUAGGAUAACAUCUGGGGAUUCAAUGGGCCAGUUGCUUUUGAGAUGAUUCUCACCACAGCAUGGAGAGAUUCAAUUUCCACUUGCAGAUCUUCCUCCAACUAGAAGAAAGCCAACAACAACAAUAACAACAACAACAACAACAAAAGCACUCUUGAAAGUGAGUGAACUAUUCCAACACUUAAAUCAAAUAUCCCAGUGAAUUUGCUUCAUCUACGAUGCUGAUAACUCUUUAUGAAGACCGAAAAUGUUACCCAGAAGUUAAAUUAUAUGCUGCAUUGAAAAGGAAAUACUGUACCUCAGAGAGGCCGAGACAGGAAUUGGAUAGACAUGGAUUGUCUCCUUAUCCUGGAAGAUGCCUGUCUGUAUGAAAUCAUUACCUGGAUCCUUGUUGAGAGCACGGUCUCUAUCUGAUUUCUGGUUGAAGAAAUACGAUCAGAUGGUCCCUGAGCAGGAUGUGUUCAUUGAGG